CAGCAGCCGCGGUAAUUCCAGCUCCAAUAGCGUAUACUAAAGUUGUUGCGGUUAAAAAGCUCGUAGUUGGAUCUUGGAAUGUGUUCAAGCGGGUCAGCUUCUGGCCGUGCGCUGCUUGACGUGUUCUUCUAUUUGGUUUUGGUGCGGUGCGCUUAACUGCGUGUCGCUCCCGGCCGAAACGUUUACCUUGAAAAAAUUAGAGUGUUCAAAGCAGACCUGUUUGAGUCUGAAUAUUCGUGCAUGGAAUAAUGAAAUAUGAAUUCGGUUCUAUUUUGUUGGUUUUCGGAACUCGAGUUAAUGAUCAAGAGGGACAGACGGGGGCAUUCGUACUCUGCCGUUAGAGGUGAAAUUCUUGGAUCGGCGGAAGACGCGCAACUGCGAAAGCAUUUGCCAAGAAUGUUUUCUUUAAUCAAGAACGAUAGUCGGAGGUUCGAAGACGAUCAGAUACCGUCCUAGUUUCGACUGUAAACUAUGCCAGCUAACGAUCAGACAGAGUUCUCUACGACUUGUCUGGCAGUUUCCGGGAAACCAAAGCGUUUGGGUUCCGGGGGAAGUAUGGUUGCAAAGCUGAAACUUAAAGGAAUUGACGGAAGGGCACCACCAGGAGUGGAGCCUGCGGCUUAAUUUGACUCAACACGGGGAAACUCACCCGGCCCGGACACAGUGAGGAUUGACAGAUUGAGAGUUCUUUCUUGAUUCUGUGGGUGGUGGUGCAUGGCCGUUCUUAGUUGGUGGAGCGAUUUGUCUGGUUAAUUCCGAUAACGAACGAGACUCUGGCAUGUUAAAUAGUCGCGGAAGUGCGUAUGCACUUGCCGAAUUGACUUCUUAGAGGGACUAGUGAUUUUAAUUCACACGAGAUUGAGCAAUAACAGGUCUGUGAUG
rnacentral:rRNA from 1 species